rnacentral:misc_RNA from 1 species
UCUCCGUAGGUGAACCUGCGGAGGGAUCAUUGAAUCUAUCAUAUCGUUUACCUGCCAACCCAGUCGUUGUGUUCCCUCGGUGCAGGCCCCCUCGGGGGACUGCUCGGGCGCUUGUUCCUGGCCCAGCCACUGGCCGACCUCCGUUGUCGGUGAAGACUGGGACAAGGCCUCGCGGUGCGGGACUCCGCCUCUCCCUCGGGAGAGGGGGGUCGGCCUCACGGUCGGCCUCGCCCGCUGGACGAAAUCUCACCCCACACACCAAACACCAACCGGAAGCUGAAGCCCAGAGGAAACCGUCCGCAAGGAAGGCGACUCACAAACCUAGACAACUCUCAACAACGGAUAUCUUGGCUCCC